GACGAACGCUGGCGGCGUGCUUAACACAUGCAAGUCGAGCGGUAAGGCCCUUUCGGGGGUACGACGAGCGGCGAACGGGUGAGUAACACGUGGGUGACCUGCCCUUAGCUCUGGGAUAAGCCUGGGAAACGUGGGUCUAAUACCGGAUAUGACUCCAUGACGCAUGUUGUGGGGUGGAAAGCCUUGUGCGGCUAGGGAUGGGCCCGCGGCCUAUCAGCUUGUUGGUGGGGUGAUGGCCUACCAAGGCGACGACGGGUAGCCGGCCUGAGAGGGCG
rnacentral:rRNA from 1 species